rnacentral:rRNA from 1 species
UGCCUACGGGCGGCUGCAGUGGGGAAUAUUGCACAAUGGACGAAAGUCUGAUGCAGCAACGCCGCGUGGAGGAUGACACAUUUCGGUGCGUAAACUCCUUUUAUAUAGGAAGAUAAUGACGGUACUAUAUGAAUAAGCACCGGCUAACUCCGUGCCAGCAGCCGCGGUAAUACGGAGGGUGCAAGCGUUACUCGGAAUCACUGGGCGUAAAGAGCGUGUAGGCGGGUAUAUAAGUCAGAAGUGAAAUCCAAUAGCUUAACUAUUGAACUGCUUUUGAAACUGUAUACCUAGAAUGUGGGAGAGGUAGAUGGAAUUUCUGGUGUAGGGGUAAAAUCCGUAGAGAUCAGAAGGAAUACCGAUUGCGAAGGCGAUCUACUGGAACAUUAUUGACGCUGAGACGCGAAAGCGUGGGGAGCAAACAGGAUUAGAUACCCCGGUAGUCAC